GAUCUGCUCAGGCUGGACACCACCUUAGCUUGCUCUUCUUGGAUGAGUUGCGAACGGGUGAGUAACGCGUAGGUAACCUGCCUGGUAGCGGGGGAUAACUAUUGGAAACGAUAGCUAAUACCGCAUGAAAUUGAAUAUCGCAUGAUACUUAAUUGAAAGAUGCAACUGCAUCACUACCAGAUGGACCUGCGUUGUAUUAGCUAGUUGGUGAGGUAACGGCUCACCAAGGCGACGAUACAUAGCCGACCUGAGAGGGUGAUCGGCCACACUGGGACUGAGACACGGCCCAGACUCCUACGGGAGGCAGCAGUAGGGAAUCUUCGGCAAUGGGGGGAACCCUGACCGAGCAACGCCGCGUGAGUGAAGAAGGUUUUCGGAUCGUAAAGCUCUGUUGUAAGAGAAGAACGGGUGUGAGAGUGGAAAGUUCACACUGUGACGGUAUCUUACCAGAAAGGGACGGCUAACUACGUGCCAGCAGCCGCGGUAAUACGUAGGUCCCGAGCGUUGUCCGGAUUUAUUGGGCGUAAAGCGAGCGCAGGCGGUUAGAUAAGUCUGAAGUUAAAGGCUGUGGCUUAACCAUAGUAUGCUUUGGAAACUGUUUAACUUGAGUGCAGAAGGGGAGAGUGGAAUUCCAUGUGUAGCGGUGAAAUGCGUAGAUAUAUGGAGGAACACCGGUGGCGAAAGCGGCUCUCUGGUCUGUAACUGACGCUGAGGCUCGAAAGCGUGGGGAGCAAACAGGAUUAGAUACCCUGGUAGUCCACGCCGUAAACGAUGAGUGCUAGGUGUUAGGCCCUUUCCGGGGCUUAGUGCCGCAGCUAACGCAUUAAGCACUCCGCCUGGGGAGUACGACCGCAAGGUGAAACUCAAAGGAAUUGACGGGCCCGCACAAGCGGUGGAGCAUGUGGUUUAAUUCAAGCAACGCGAAAACCUUACCAGGUCUUGACAUCCCUCUGACCGCUCUAGAGAU
rnacentral:rRNA from 1 species